rnacentral:rRNA from 1 species
ACACCUUGGGUUGGCUAGUGGCGAACGGGUGAGUAACACGUGAGGAACCUGCCCCGAAGACCGGGAUAACCAGAGGAAACCCUGGCUAAUACCGGAUACCCCCACCGGAUCGCAUGGUCUGGUGAGGAAAUGGAUUCCGCUUCGGGAGGGCCUCGCGGCCUAUCAGCUUGUUGGUGGGGUAACGGCCCACCAAGGCGUCGACGGGUAGCUGGUCUGAGAGGACGAUCAGCCACACUGGGACUGAGACACGGCCCAGACUCCUACGGGAGGCAGCAGUAGGGAAUCUUGCGCAAUGGGCGAAAGCCUGACGCAGCAACGCCGCGUGCGGGAUGAAGGCCUUCGGGCUGUAAACCGCUUUCAGCAGGGACGAAAUUGACGGUACCUGCAGAAGAAGCCCCGGCCAACUACGUGCCAGCAGCCGCGGUAACACGUAGGGGGCAAGCGUUGUCCGGAUUUAUUGGGCGUAAAGAGCUCGUAGGCGGUUUCGUUAGUCGGGUGUGAAAACCCCAGGCUCAACCUGGGGACGCCACCCGAUACUGCGAUGACUAGAGUCCGGUAGGGGAGUGUGGAAUUCCUGGUGUAGCGGUGAAAUGCGCAGAU